ensembl:lncRNA
CACCGCUUUCUGAGCACACAUCAAAAGCGAUUCAUCAAUGUCGUACUUGCAGACAUCUCUCCCAAAAGCCUGACCCCUUUUGUGUUUUUAUCUGCCUUCAGCCUCUGCUCAGCAUCAAUUAUUGUUCCAACACCGUGAUCCUUUCCAGAGUCAGCAGCAACUACCCCCAUCUUUGAUCAUCUCGCUACAUACGAUUAUCAAAGGUGUGUAAAUCAGGUCUGUGUUCAGAGUGUUUCCAUACAUGCCAACAGAUGCGAUGGAAAAAAGUGCCAAAAUAUUUUUACUCCUUAAAAUCAGAACCUGUAACCAUUUUAAAUAGAGAAUAUAAGCAUUUAAGCACUAAAAUGUGCACAGCUCGCACCUAUAAUGGGUUGUGUGAGAUAUCACAGACACAAAAUUUGUUCACCAUCUUAAAUAUUUGCUCAAGUGUUAACACUUUUCAAAUUGCUGUUUAUUUUCCGUGACUGUAAACAGUUUAAAUGGUCAUCGUUAUAUCAGUCCAUGUUUCCAGCGCAGUUGUUCCCUUGAAUUACCUCGUGAAUGAUUUAUGUUCAUCGCUACGGCUUUCGGUGGCUGAAGGCUGAGAGCCUUUUCAUAGGUAAACACGCCAUAUUAAAAACCAGCACUUCAAAGACGUUUCGGCUGCAAGGAGAACAUUUGGUCUCAUUUCACUUGUCAAACAUGUGAGUGUCACAACCACUCAGACAACACAAACCAUUUCCCAUAAGUAAACACAGCCUGCCGUAAAACUAAGCAAGGUAGCAGGACUCUAAGCAAACAGACAGAAUCAAGCUAAACUGCUGGAGCUACUUUGCUAAUGGAUCUAGUAGUUAUUUGCUUGCAGGUAAUAGAUGAUUUAUCGGUUAAAGACCAUUUAAGAGAGGUUUAAUGGGUCGUGGUGUCACAAAUGUAGAAGCACAGAUUGCAAAAAUUACGCAUUGACAAAAAAAACCUGCAAAAACAAUCAGUGUUUUUCCAUGCAGGCUCACAUGGUACAUUUCGAAACAAAUAAAAACGGUCUAUUCUGGGCGUAGAGUAUUCAAAUAGAUCUGAGAACAAUUCAGCGUACAAGAUAACAGAAAGAGGACAUCUGUAGCCCCAUUGAAAGACUUGUUUGACAAGAUUAGCAUGGAGAUUAUCGAACCUUACAUGGGUCCUUUUUUCCCCUGACCUCUUUUCAACUCUCUUUCCAGAACACUUCCUCACCAUUCCACCACAUACUUCGAGCGCCGAGAGGUUUUGCAUGAGAU